UACGGAGGGGGCUAGCGUUGUUCGGAAUUACUGGGCGUAAAGCGUACGUAGGCGGAUGCGCAAGUUGGGGGUGAAAUCCCGGGGCUUAACCCCGGAAUUGCCUUCAAAACUGUGCGUCUUGAGGCCGAGAGAGGUAAGGGGAAUUCCUAGUGUAGAGGUGAAAUUCGUAGAUAUUAGGAAGAACACCAGUGGCGAAGGCGCCUUACUGGCUCGGUACUGACGCUGAGGUACGAAAGCGUGGGGAGCAAACAGG
rnacentral:rRNA from 1 species